rnacentral:rRNA from 1 species
UACGUAGGCAGCGAGCGUUGUUCGGAGUUACUGGGCGUAAAGGGUGUGUAGGCGGUUCUUUAAGUUUGGUGUGAAAUCUCCCGGCUCAACCGGGAGGGUGCGCCGAAUACUGAGGGACUUCGAGUGCGGGAGAGGGAAGUGGAAUUCCUGGUGUAGCAGUGAAAUGCGUAGAGAUCAUGAGGAAGACCAGUGGCGAAGGCGGGUCUCUGGACAGUUCCUGACACUGAGACACGAAGGCCAGGGGAGCAAACGGG